UAUUUAUUUAUUUUUUCAUAAACUAACUAAACGUGUGCUUGUAGGUUUUAAUAUACACGCUAAGCCUUUUUGUUUUUUUAUUUUUCAAUAGAACAGGCAUUUGCUGACAACCAUGGUAAAUGUUCAUGAUAGAUGAUGCUGUCGUCAUCAACUCACAUGACCGUCACGCCUCAUGAGGUGGGAAUAUCUCAUCUCACGAGAACCAUGGAGUUGGCGAGAGAGGUUUUUUAUUAAAUGUAAUAAAAGUUAUUAAUGGGCAGGCUGUAAUAGGAAAAUUGAUAUCACAGUCUCCAUGUAAUGAACUAACGAGAAAAGAAUGCUGAUGGGAAGUUAACAGAUGGAGUGAGUUAUUAUUUUGGGAUUCAAGAUUUUGUUACAAAUCGGCAGUGAAACUGGAAUUGCAGGCGUUUUCUGACAAGGGCGGUCGAUAUACGAGGAAAACCAGCCGCAGCUAAUACCGGGGAGUGUCAACGCAUGGCUGUAUUCGCCAUCCGCUUUCGAUCGAUGGCAACCUGAAGUGACACCAAGUCGGCAAGAAUGAUUGAGUCGAGGCUUAGGACUUGUGGAAACGACAUUUUACACAAGUCAAAGAUAAUAUGAGGAAAUCUCAAGCACUGAAAAGAGGCAGUUUUUAGAAAGAGUUGCCUAGUCCAGAAGUCCUCUCUUGGAUGUUAGACUUUUGCAGAUGCUGAUAAGGUUCACAAUGGCCAUCUUACUGUGAUUACAGACCAGGGAAGAGUAAAUAUCAAUUUAAACUGGAUGAAACAAAAUCUGUAUAUAUAUAUUCCGAUAAUGUUGAAAUGUAAUUAAAAAAUAACAUAAUGAUAAA